CUGAUGAUAACUCAAGAACACUUAUGCCUAGGAUCAUGAAACUUGAUAGGUAGAUUGAUCAGGACUCGCAGAUGACCCCUAUUGAUUUUCAGGUCACUAGGUCAAAUGUCAAGGUCACGGUGACCCGAAAUAGUAAAAUGGUUUCCGAAUGAUAACUCAAGAACCCUUAUGCCUAGAAUCAUGAAACUUCAUAGGUAGAUUGAUAAUGACUGGCAGAUGACCCCUAUUGAUUUUCAGGUCACUAGGUCAAAGGUCAAGGUCACGGUGACCCGAAAUAGUAAAAUGGUUUCCGGAUGAUGACUCAAUAACGCUUAUGCCUAGGAUCAUGAAACUUGAUAGGUAGAUUGAUCAUGACUCGCAGUUGACCCCUAUUGAUUU